GUCUUUUUGAUUAUAAUAUAAAGUCUGGUCUGCCCAAUGAUGAUUUGAAUGGCCGCGGUAUUUUGACCGUGCAAAGGUAGCAUAAUAAUUAGUUUUUUAAAUGGAAACUGGAAUGAAUGAUUUGACGAAAUUAUAUCUGUCUCUAUUAAUAGAUUAAAAAUUUAUUUUUGAGUUAAAAAGCUUAAAUUUUUUUAAAAGACGAGAAGACCCUAUAGAUUUUUAUAGUAUAUAUAGGUUUCUUUUUUAGGAUUUAUUUGAUUUUGUUUUAUCUAUUUUGUUGGGGUGACAGAGGAAUUUUUUUAACUUUCUUUAAAUAUAAACGGAGAUUUCUGAUUUUUUGAUCCAAGUUUUUUGAUUAAAAGAUUAAAUUACCUUAGGGAUAACAGCGUAAUUCUUUUUGAAAGUUCAUAUUGAUAAAGGAGUUUGCGACCUCGAUGUUGGAUUAAAAUUUAUUUUCAAUGCAGAAGUUGAAAUAUUAAGUCUGUUGGACUUUUAAAAUUUU
rnacentral:rRNA from 1 species